UGGGGAAUAUUGGACAAUGGGCGAAAGCCUGAUCCAGCCAUGCCGCGUGAGUGACGAAGGCCUUAGGGUUGUAAAACUCUUUCGUCGGGGACGAUAAUGACGGUACCCGAAGAAGAAGCUCCGGCUAACUUCGUGCCAGCAGCCGCGGUAAUACGAAGGGAGCUAGCGUUGUUCGGAAUCACUGGGCGUAAAGCGCACGUAGGCGGAUAGUUAAGUCAGGGGUGAAAUCCUGGGGCUCAACCCCAGAACUGCCUUUGAUACUGGCCGUCUCGAGGUCGAGAGAGGUUGGUGGAAUUCCUAGUGUAGAGGUGAAAUUCGUAGAUAUUAGGAAGAACACCAGUGGCGAAGGCGGCCAACUGGCUCGAUACUGACGCUGAGGUGCGAAAGCGUGGGGAGCAAACAGGAUUAGAUACCCCAGUAGUCCCUGAGCGGGCUGGCAAGGCGCAU
rnacentral:rRNA from 1 species